rnacentral:ncRNA from 2 species
UUUAAAUUGAAGAGUUUGAUCAUGGCUCA